ensembl:lincRNA
CUAUUCUAAAGGCUCUUCAGGGAUUUUUAAUAUGCAGCUAGGAUUGAAAAUCACUUAUGUAGACAUACAGUUUUUAUGUUUUAACAAACACAUUUAAGGCAAACAAACUACUGGGAUGAUCUUUGGAUGCAUCACAGAACUUUUUCAGAAGCAUUUGGUAGUCCCAGUGAUUUCUCCUUCUAAAGAGUGCUAGUGAAUGAGGGAUUCUGAUUGAGGACUUACUUUGCUGCCUUAGGGUUCUCUCCUAACCAAAAGGCUUUCUGUUUUGGAAUCAUGGAGCACAUCUUUUGUGGGCUGCGAAAAGCUCUAGGUGGAAGGGAAGAGCAUCAGGUGGUGAAGCUGAGCCAGGAGAGUCUAAAAUCCAUGUGGCCUCUCAGGCACCCUGGAGUCUAGAGGGAGUUCCCUGAUCUCACAUUGGAGAGUAAUUCUAGGGGUUAAGGAUUUGUAGGAAAUCUCUGGCCAAACCCUGCCCCGGUCCCUUGUAUGGAUCUAUUGCAAGGUGAAAAAUAGAUAUUGGAUGAGUAAUCAAGCAACAGCUCUGGUGUGAUGAGUUACGGCACUGAAGCAUGGGAAUAAGAUCAGGACACAGUGAUACUCUGAUACAGGCAAGGAAAAAAAAAAAAGCAGCAACUGCUGAUAUUGGUGAUUAUGCAGAAGAUGCUGGGCAAUAUUUACUGAGCACUUACGAGGAAGCCUGCCUGGUUCCAUAUGCUUCACUUGCAUUAACUUCCCUCAGUUCUCCCAAGAAUCCCACGAGAUCUCUGUUGUCUCUAUAUUAACGAAGCUAAAACAUUCUAGUUGAAUGUUCUAAAUGUUUGUCAGCACAGCAAGCUUCUACCUUCUCCUGUUUAAAGAAAAUUUGAAAAAUACCUGGAUCCUUCCUUCCCAUCAGCCCCCACUUCAUCCAUCCUCUUAUGAACUGAGGGAAUCUUUUAUCAUAGGUAAGUAUAGGGUAAACCUGAGGAAAACCUUGAAGAAAGAUUAUGUAAGUUGAAAAUCACCUAAACCUGCAGUUUUAGUCCUCCUUUUUGCAGAAGAAAUGAAAAUAUCUGCAGGAGGGAGAACGGCAGCAGAGAGAGACUAUAGGAAAGGAAAAACAAAUGGCCGAUAAAUGUGGUCUUGAAAUGAACAAGUGCACAACAAUCAAGAUGAUCCUUUUUAUGAUGCCUGGUGAUGUCACCCUAACUAUCAUUCUCCUUAUUACAGUGACUUUCCACUUUCAUUUUGGGACGAUGCAAUUUUAUAUAAUACCAAUGAAAGAGCUACCCUAAGAACAAUAAUAUGUAAACAUCAUGUCUAAAUUCAGACUAUUGCCAUAUACUGCAAGGAAAGCAGAAGGGUGAAGAAAAUGCAUACUGUAAGCUAGCAGUAUUAAUUCAAACUCUUCAUCUUUAAAAAUAUUUUGUUUUAAAUUAUCUUAUAAACUACAUAUAUGGGGACAGGUGCAGUGGCUCAUGCCUGUAAUCCCAGCACUUUGGGAGGCUGAGAUGGUUGGAUCACUUGAGCCCAGGAGUUCGAGACUAGCCUGAGCAACAUGGUGAAAACCCAUCUCUACAAAAAAUACAAAAAGUUAACUGGGCAUGGUGGUGUACGACUGACUGUAGCCUCAGCUGCCCAGGAGGCUGAGGUGGGAUAUCAGAGCCCAGUCGGUUGAGGCUGCAGUGAGCCGUGAUUGUGCCACUGUACUCCAGGCUGGGUAACAGAGUGACAGUCUGUCUCAAAAAAACAAAAACAAAACCCAACUACAUAUAUGAUCUCAUUGAUAAUAAUAGCAACUACUCAUACUUCCUUUUUAUUGUCAUCAUAUUUUAGAACACUUACUUUUACGUAGUUCUCCUCAAGCACCAGAUUCAAUGUCCUGCCUUAC